UACAGAGGUCUCAAGCGUUGUUCGGAUUCAUUGGGCGUAAAGGGUGCGUAGGCGGCGCGGUAAGUCGGGUGUGAAAUUUCGAGGCUUAACUUCGAAACUGCAUUCGAUACUGCCGUGCUUGAGGACUGGGAGAGGAGACUGGAAUUUACGGUGUAGCGGUGAAAUGCGUAGAUAUCGUAAGGAAGACCAGUGGCGAAGGCGGGUCUCUGGACAG
rnacentral:rRNA from 1 species